rnacentral:rRNA from 1 species
GACGAACGCUGGCGGCGUGCUUAACACAUGCAAGUCGAACGGAAAGGCCCUGCUUUUGUGGGGUGCUCGAGUGGCGAACGGGUGAGUAACGCGUGAGUAACCUGCCCUUGACUUUGGGAUAACUUCAGGAAACUGGGGCUAAUACCGGAUAGGAGCUCCUGCUGCAUGGUGGGGGUUGGAAAGUUUCGGCGGUUGGGGAUGGACUCGCGGCUUAUCAGCUUGUUGGUGGGGUAGUGGCUUACCAAGGCUUUGAUGGGUAGCCGGCCUGAGAGGGUGACCGGCCACAUUGGGACUGAGAUACGGCCCAGACUCCUACGGGAGGCAGCAGUGGGGAAUAUUGCACAAUGGGCGGAAGCCUGAUGCAGCAACGCCGCGUGCGGGAUGACGGCCUUCGGGUUGUAAACCGCUUUCGCCUGUGACGAAGCGUGAGUGACGGUAAUGGGUAAAGAAGCACCGGCUAACUACGUG